rnacentral:ribozyme from 1 species
UCAUUUGAGAUUCAGAUUGAGAUUGAUGAGAUUUAGAUUUCGGAUCAUGAACUGACAAUUCAUCACUGCACCUGCACAGCAGUGCCUGCUAGCGCAAUGAAGAU